rnacentral:rRNA from 1 species
AGGACGAACGCUGGCGGCGUGCUUAACACAUGCAAGUCGAGCGGAAAGGCCCUUCGGGGUACUCGAGCGGCGAACGGGUGAGUAACACGUGAGUAACCUGCCCCUAGCUCUGGGAUAGCUCCGGGAAACCGGGAUUAAUACCAGAUACGGCCACUUUAGACAUCUGUCGUGGUGGAAAGGAUUCCGGCUAGGGAUGGGCUCGCGGCCUAUCAGCUUGUUGGUGGGGUAACGGCCUACCAAGGCGACGACGGGUAGCCGGCCUGAGAGGGCGACCGGCCACACUGGGACUGAGACACGGCCCAGACUCCUACGGGAGGCAGCAGUGGGGAAUAUUGCGCAAUGGGCGAAAGCCUGACGCAGCGACGCCGCGUGGGGGAUGAAGGCCUUCGGGUUGUAAACCCUUUCAGCAGGGACGAAGCGAAAGUGACGGUACCUGCAGAAGAAGCGCCGGCUAACUACGUGCCAGCAGCCGC